rnacentral:rRNA from 1 species
GUUGUUCUACGGGGCGCAGCAGUAGGGAAUCUUCCACAAUGGACGAAAGUCUGAUGGAGCAACGCCGCGUGAGUGAAGAAGGGUUUCGGCUCGUAAAGCUCUGUUGGUAGUGAAGAAAGAUAGAGGUAGUAACUGGCCUUUGUUCGACGGUAAUUACUUAGAAAGUCACGGCUAACUACGUGCCAGCAGCCGCGGUAAUACGGAGGUGGCAAGCGUUGUCCGGAUUUAUUUGGCGGAAAGCGCGUGCAGGCGGGUACAUA